rfam:Lepisosteus oculatus linkage group LG20, whole genome shotgun sequence.
UGGUGAUCGGGUCUUCUGAGUCCGCAGUACUCAGGCUACGUGUGCCUCUGCAGCAGGUGCAGGCCCAGCAGUCAUCA